CGUGGGUCAACCAGGAGGUGUUGGAAGAGGUUUAAUGGAAGCUAUUUACUGGCACCGCACCGGCGAGCAACAGGAGGGAGACUCAGCCGCUGCAUUGUUGGAGACGUUCGAGAACGAAUCCCUUUCCACAUGCGAAGCCUACUCCACCUCCGUCGCGGAGCCCCCGGCUGCCCUGUCUCCUCUCCACCACCAGCAGCAGCUCCUCUCCAGCACCAGCUUCGACACCGACCCUGUCAACAGCACCGUCUUAUCACCGGUAAGACACGGCAAGAGGAAAGGGGGCCACAGAAAACUGGACCUUCCUAGCGUACUUGUGGAGAUGCAGGCUGAGGAGGAGUGGAGUCAUGCCCAGCAUGAUGAGAACAUCUGGUUGCUCCUCAGCGAGGCAAGAGAGAAUGAAGCGGCCUUGCAGCGGG
ensembl:lncRNA